ACGGGUGAGUAACACGUGGGCAACCUGCCUGUAAGACUGGGAUAACACCGGGAAACCGGUGCUAAUACCGGAUAAUCCUUUUCCUCUCAUGAGGAAAAGCUGAAAGUCGGUUUCGGCUGACACUUACAGAUGGGCCCGCGGCGCAUUAGCUAGUUGGUGAGGUAACGGCUCACCAAGGCGACGAUGCGUAGCCGACCUGAGAGGGUGAUCGGCCACACUGGGACUGAGACACGGCCCAGACUCCUACGGGAGGCAGCAGUAGGGAAUCUUCCACAAUGGACGAAAGUCUGAUGGAGCAACGCCGCGUGAGCGAUGAAGGCCUUCGGGUCGUAAAGCUCUGUUGUUGGGGAAGAACAAGUACCGGAGUAACUGCCGGUACCUUGACGGUACCUAACCAGAAAGCCACGGCUAACUACGUGCCAGCAGCCGCGGUAAUACGUAGGUGGCAAGCGUUGUCCGGAAUUAUUGGGCGUAAAGCGCGCGCAGGCGGUCCUUUAAGUCUGAUGUGAAAGCCCACGGCUCAACCGUGGAGGGUCAUUGGAAACUGGGGGGACUUGAGUGCAGAAGAGGAAAGCGGAAUUCC
rnacentral:rRNA from 1 species